rnacentral:rRNA from 1 species
CCUGGGGAGUACGCCGGCAACGGUGAAACUCAAAGGAAUUGACGGGGGCCCGCACAAGCGGUGGAUGAUGUGGUUUAAUUCGAUGCAACGCGAAAAACCUUACCCACCUUUGACAUGUACGGAAUUUGCCAGAGAUGGCUUAGUGCUCGAAAGAGAACCGUAACACAGGUGCUGCAUGGCUGUCGUCAGCUCGUGUCGUGAGAUGUUGGGUUAAGUCCCGCAACGAGCGCAACCCUUGUCAUUAGUUGCUACGAAAGGGCACUCUAAUGAGACUGCCGGUGACAAACCGGAGGAAGGUGGGGAUGACGUCAAGUCCUCAUGGCCCUUAUAGGUGGGGCUACACACGUCAUACAAUGGCUGGUACAGAGGGUUGCCAACCCGCGAGGGGGAGCCAAUCCCAUAAAACCAGUCGUAGUCCGGAUCGCAGUCUGCAACUCGACUGCGUGAAGUCGGAAUCGCUAGUAAUCGCGGAUCAGCAUGUCGCGGUGAAUACGUUCCCGGGUCUUGUACACACCGCCCGUCACACCAUGGGAGCGGGUUCUGCCAGAAGUAGUUAGCCUAACCGCAAGGAGGGCGAUUACCACGGCAGGGUUCGUGACUGGGGUGAAGUCGUAACAAGGUAA